GCACUCACUUCAGCAGUAUAUAUACUAAAAUUGGAAUGAUACAGAGAAAAUUAGCAUGGCCCCUGAGCAAGGAUGACACACAAAUUUGUGAAGCAUUUCAUAUUAAA